rnacentral:miRNA from 1 species
CAUAACUUUUAAGAUCAGUUAUAAAGUAACCGAUCUUAAAAGUAUUUUUAAGAUGGUUAUUUUAUAACUGAUUUAAAAGGUACU